UUCGAGGUGGAGCAGCAGAAGCGCUAACCCUUGGGAGGGGCUGGGUUAGACGAGUUCGAGCCCCGCCCCCGGCCCCA
rnacentral:tRNA from 1 species